AUACACACAUAUAAGUAAUAGAAACAACAAGCAACAAAGGGCAAAGAGAAUAACAACAACAACAAUAAAACAACAACAGUAAGAAUAAUAAAAUAAUAAAAAUAAUAAACGAUAGCUGUUAAGAAGAAAAGAAAGAAGAGAAGAGGAUCGUACAAGAGGAGUGUGAACGCUUAUACAUAAUUCUAGAAACGCGCUACGGUUAAGAGUACUUCCACAUUGCGAUUAAUUAAUUUCAACUCAAGCGAUUGCUGCGCCUGUUCUACAUACACGAUCAAGAUACCUCAAGACAGCAACGGGCGACGAAGCGACACGAUCAGCAUGCACCUGGGACCGCGGUUCGAGGCGCACUUCAAGAUGCGGUAGAGGAAGUCCCUCGACCCGAGCU